GUGCUCGAUUCGGCAGCGCAUAUACUAAAAUUGGAACGAUACGGAGAAGAUUAGCAUGGCCCCUGCACAAAAUUCCAGCAAAAUGUAUGGGUUGUAUGUAACUUCC
ensembl:snRNA U6 U6 spliceosomal RNA